UACGGGAGGCAGCAGUGGGGAAUAUUGGACAAUGGGCGCAAGCCUGAUCCAGCAAUGCCGCGUGGGUGAAGACGGCCUGCGGGUUGUAAAGCCCUUUAGGCGGGGAGGAACGGUCGGGUGCCAAUACCACCUGGCGCUGACGUUACCCGCAGAAUAAGCACCGGCUAACUCCGUGCCAGCAGCCGCGGUAAUACGGAGGGUGCGAGCGUUUUUUGGAAUUACUGGGCGUAAAGCGUGCGUAGGCGGUAGCGUCUGUCAGCCGUGAAAGCCCCGGGCUUAACCUGGGAACGGCGGUUGAGACGGCGCAACUAGAGUGGGCGAGAGGAUCGUGGAAUUCCGGGUGUAGCGGUGAAAUGUGUAGAGAUCGGGAGGAACACCGAUGGUGAAGGCAGCGGUCUGGGGCCACACUGACGCUGAGGCACGAGAGCGUGGGGAGCAAACAGGAUUAGAUACCCUGGUAGUCCACGCCGUAAACGAUGAGCACUAGACGCUGGUGGGGUGACCUGCCGGUGUCGUAGCUAACGCGCUAAG
rnacentral:rRNA from 1 species